AACGAACGCUGGCGGCAGGCCUAACACAUGCAAGUCGAACGCCGUAGCAAUACGGAGUGGCAGACGGGUGAGUAACGCGUGGGAACCUUCCCGAUGGUACGGAAUAGCUCAGGGAAACUUGAGGUAAUACCGUAUACGCCCGCAAGGGGAAAGAUUUAUCGCCAUCGGAUGGGCCCGCGUCGGAUUAGCUAGUUGGUGAGGUAAUGGCUCACCAAGGCGACGAUCCGUAGCUGGUCUGAGAGGACGACCAGCCACACUGGGACUGAGACACGGCCCAGACGCCUACGGGAGGCAGCAGUGGGGAAUAUUGGACAAUGGGCGCAAGCCUGAUCCAGCCAUGCCGCGUGAGUGAUGAAGGCCUUAGGGUUGUAAUGCUCUUUUAGCGGGGAAGAUAAUGACGGUACCCGCAGAAUAAGCCCCGGCUAACUUCGUG
rnacentral:rRNA from 1 species